GCUCAAAUUUGAAAUCUGGCUCUUUCAGAGUCCGAGUUGUAAUUUGCAGAGGGCGCUUUGGCGUUGGCAGCGGUCCAAGUUCUUUGGAACAGGACGUCACAGAGGGUGAGAAUCCCGUACGUGGUCGCUAGCCAUCACCGUGUAAAGCCCCUUCGACGAGUCGAGUUGUUUGGGAAUGCAGCUCUAAAUGGGAGGUAAAUUUCUUCUAAAGCUAAAUACUGGCCAGAGACCGAUAGCGCACAAGUAGAGUGAUCGAAAGAUGAAAAGCACUUUGGAAAGAGAGUCAAAUAGCACGUGAAAUUGUUGAAAGGGAAGCGCUUGCAGCCAGACUUGCCUGUAGUUGCUUACCUAGACUUUUGUCUGGGGCACUCUUCUGCAGGCAGGCCAGCAUCAGUUUGGGCGGUUGGAUAAAGGUCUCUGUCACGUACCUCCCUUCGGGGAGGCCUUAUAGGGGAGACGUAAUGCAACCAGCCUGGACUGAGGUCCGCGCAUCUGCUAGGAUGCUGGCGUAAUGGCUGUAAGCGGCCCGUCUUGAAACACGGACCAAGGAGUCUAACAUCUAUGCGAGUGUUUGGGUGUCAAGCCCAUACGCGUAAUGAAAGUGAACGGAGGUGGGAACCUUAGGGUGCACCAUCGACCGAUCCUGAUGUCUUCGGAUGGAUUUGAGUAAGAGCAUGGCUGUUGGGACCCGAAAGAUGGUGAACUAUGCUUGAAUAGGGUGAAGCCAGAGGAAACUCUGGUGGAGGCUCGCAGCGGUUCUGACGUGCAAAUCGAUCGUCAAAUUUGG
rnacentral:rRNA from 1 species